GCUCCCGUGGCGAAAUUGGCAAACGCAGUGUAUUUAAGGUACAUACAACUAUGGGUUCGAAUCCCAUCGGGAGUA
rnacentral:tRNA from 1 species